CCUACGGGAGGCUGCAGUUUCGAAUCAUUCACAAUGGGCGAAAGCCUGAUGGUGCGACGCCGCGUGAGGGAUGAAGGUCUUCGGAUUGUAAACCUCUGUCACCGGGGAAGAAACGCUUCAAGUUAAUAGUUUGAAGCCUGACUUCACCCGGAGAGGAAGCAGUGGCUAACUCUGUGCCAGCAGCCGCGGUAAUACAGAGACUGCAAGCGUUAUUCGGGUUCGCAGGGGGCAAAGGGUGCGCAGUGUGCCAGCCCGGAUCUUAACUCCGGAAUUGCUCCUCAAACUACAUGGCUAGAGCAUUGGAGAGGGUAGCAGAAUUCACGGUGUAGCAGUGAAAUGCGUAGAUAUCGUGAGGAAUACCAGAGGCGAAGGCGGCUACCUGGACAAUUGCUGACGCUCAGGCACGAAAGCGUGGGGAGCAAAAGGGAUUAGAUACCCGAGUAGUC
rnacentral:rRNA from 1 species